rnacentral:snRNA from 1 species
CUAGCUUCUUGGCCUUUUGGCUAAGAUCAAGUGUUAUCUAUUCUUAUCAGUUUAAUAAAUGGUAUGGAAUCAAACUAAAAAGAUUCUUCAUUGCAAAGGAAACAAUCAAGAAUGUGAAAAGAGAGCCUACAGAAUGGGAGAAAUUCUUUGUCACUUGCACUUCAGAUAGAGAAUUAACGUCCA